GCUGGGAUAGCUUGGUUGGUUAGAGCGUGGGGCUGGUGACGGCAAGGUUGCAGGUUCGAUCCCUGAAUGGGGCAGCU